UAAGAGUUGCAUCGAUAUCGAAUGAGAUUAGUUAGGCUACUUUUACCCUUCUUAUCUAGAUUGUAUUGUCAACUCCAGCGUUAACGUUCGAGUGAGCCGUUAGACCGGGUUAAACGUGGGGUGAGCUUGCUGUCAACUCGGGCACUACAAUAUGUACAUUUUUAGACUAACGUUUCUUUCUCUCAGUUAAGAUGACCUGGCCGUAUAAUUUGUUAUGUUCUUCUGAGAAUUCCAUUUUGUACAGGUAAUAGGUAAUGUUAACCACAGUUUGUCAAUCCAUUUGGAUGAAGGCAAAUUGUGUUAGCCUUGACGCUAACUGCCAGCGACAUGUUAGCAAACUAGCUGCUAGCAUUAUGUACUUUCUCUCUUUGUGGUGGAUGUUGCAGUAUUUUUCAUUAACUAAUGAUGACAAAUUCAUGAAAUAACGUUAGCUGGGUGUCGGUAGCUAACACAACUACUGCAUAAACAUGUUUAGCUGUUCUUAGCCGACAUGACUUAACUAUAUCAACCUUGCUAUGCUGUCCACAGAAACCUGUGACUUGAAGUAUCUGGGAAGAGCCGUUACCACGGAUAAAUUCAGAAUGCUGCUACGAGUUCAGUUUGGGGGAGAGCAAAAAUACAUUAAGCUGUCUGAGCUGACAUUUGAUACUUUUUUGAAAGAAGUGUGCCUGAAAUUCAACAUACCAGAAGGCAGGCAGCUAGAUAUGAAGGUUUAUGACCAGUCUGAUACAGAGGUUGACUCUGAGGUUUUUGAAGAGAUAGUGAAGGAAUCACCUGGAGCCUUUCG